CACGAGUGGCGAACGGGUGAGUAACACGUGGGUAAUCUGCCCUGCACUUCGGGAUAAGCCUGGGAAACUGGGUCUAAUACCGGAUAUGAACUCCUGCCGCAUGGUGGGGGUUGGAAAGUUUUUCGGUGCAGGAUGAGCCCGCGGCCUAUCAGCUUGUUGGUGGGGUAAUGGCCUACCAAGGCGACGACGGGUAGCCGGCCUGAGAGGGUGAUCGGCCACACUGGGACUGAGACACGGCCCAGACUCCUACGGGAGGCAGCAGUGGGGAAUAUUGCACAAUGGGCGAAAGCCUGAUGCAGCGACGCCGCGUGGGGGAUGACGGUCUUCGGAUUGUAAACCCCUUUCAGUAGGGACGAAGCGCAAGUGACGGUACCUGCAGAAGAAGCACCGGCUAACUACGUGCCAGCAGCCGCGGUAAUACGUAGGGUGCGAGCGUUGUCCGGAAUUACUGGGCGUAAAGAGCUCGUAGGCGGUUUGUCACGUCGUCUGUGAAAUCCCUCGGCUUAACCGGGGGCGUGCAGGCGAUACGGGCAGACUUGAGUACUACAGGGGAGACUGGAAUUCCUGGUGUAGCGGUGAAAUGCGCAGAUAUCAGGAGGAACACCGGUGGCGAAGGCGGGUCUCUGGGUAGUAACUGACGCUGAGGAGCGAAAGCAUGGGUAGCGAACAGGAUUAGAUACCCUGGUAGUCCAUGCCGUAAACGGUGGGCGCUAGGUGUGGGGUCCUUCCACGGACUCCGUGCCGUAGCUAACGCAUUAAGCGCUCCGCCUGGGGAGUACGGC
rnacentral:rRNA from 1 species